rnacentral:rRNA from 1 species
AUUGAACGCUGGCGGCAGGCCUAACACAUGCAAGUCGAGCGGCAGCGGGACCUUCGGGUCGCCGGCGAGCGGCGGACGGGUGAGUAAUGCCUAGGAAUCUGCCUGUUAGUGGGGGAUAACGCGGGGAAACUCGCGCUAAUACCGCAUACGUCCCACGGGAGAAAGCGGGGGCUCUUCGGACCUCGCGCUAACAGAUGAGCCUAGGUCGGAUUAGCUGGUUGGUGGGGUAACGGCCCACCAAGGCGACGAUCCGUAACUGGUCUGAGAGGAUGAUCAGUCACACUGGAACUGAGACACGGUCCAGACUCCUACGGGAGGCAGCAGUGGGGAAUAUUGGACAAUGGGCGAAAGCCUGAUCCAGCCAUGCCGCGUGUGUGAAGAAGGUCUUCGGAUUGUAAAGCACUUUAAGUUGGGAGGAAGGGCUGCCGGUUAAUACCCUGCAGCUUUGACGUUACCGACAGAAUAAGCACCGGCUAACUUCGUGC